GGGAGUUUGGCUCAGUGGUAGAGCACUUGCCUACUAUGUGUGAGGCCCAGAUUCCAUUUCUGGCACUACAA
rfam:Ictidomys tridecemlineatus contig028075, whole genome shotgun sequence.